rnacentral:lncRNA from 1 species
UCUCUCUCUCUCCUUCCCAGAUGAGCCUUUUUGGACUUCUAGGAUCCUUUUUUUUUUUUUUUUUUUCCCUCCCCCUCCUCCUGCUCUUCCCCCUUUUUUUUUUUUCUUUUUGGUUGCUUUUUCUUUUUCUUUUUUUUUUUUUUAUUCAAACAAACUUUGCCAGUCCCAUCUGCAUCUGACAAGUGCAGGGGGAAGGACUGGCCGCCCCCUCCCUCCCAUGCUCUCCCCCCUCCCGCCCUUCCCACCCCCACCCCCUCUGGCUCCGGGCUUGUCAGAGGCGCUGGAUGCUUUGGGGAGGACGGUUCUCAUCGCCAGCCUCCGCCAUGCUUUGAUUUUGCAGGCUGGAGAAGCUCCCUUCCCGCCCCGCCGGUUCGGGAGGAGGUUGGGAGGGGAGGCGGGAAUUAGCCAAAAUAAUAAUAAUAAUAGCAAUUAAAAAAAAAAAAAGAGAGAGAAAGAAAAUUCAGCACAGCGGCGGCAAAGAAAAGAAAAGCUCCCACGGAGCCCCGGGCCCGGAGGACGCUGCUCGGCGGGGCGGCGGGGCGCACCGCGCCGGGGAGGCCAAACUCGGGCUGCGGCGGAAAGUUUCGCGCAGCCGCCCCGGCCCGCCCGCGCCUCCCGCCGCCGUUUGGCCGGGCCGCCGCCAGGGGGCGAUCGCUCCCCAGCGCAGCUGACGGAGGGGCGGUGGCGUCCCGCCCGCCGGCUCAGCACCUGCGUAGCGCUUCCAACGUGGAGUUUGGAGCUUCCCGUCCCGCACGGUGUCACACAGUCACCCACGUGGGGCUCGUCCCGAGAAAGAAAGUCUCCUGAGGUUGCUCACAGCCUUCCGCUGGCUGCCGAGGCGGGAGGUGACAUGUCCUCACAGGCGCUGCCUUCCCCGCCCAUCUCUGAACAUCACUGUAGCAGAGGGCACAUAGAGGAUAUGCUGGCUGCCCUGCUUUUCAGCCAUCCUCGCCAUCUUGGCCACCUCAACGCAUCACAGGGAUCAAAACAAACCCCUCUGAACGGUUCUGCUCGCAUCGCUAAUUACACAGCUUCCACUCAGGAGGAGUCUACGAGACACAGGUGAUAAAGAGAGAGAACUGCACUGCAGUGUGCUCUCUGAAGAGGCCACUUAGGAGACAAUAAAGAAUCAUGGGGUAAGUAGAGCUAUCCA